rnacentral:rRNA from 1 species
AGGACGAACGCUGGCGGCGUGCUUAACACAUGCAAGUCGAGCGGAAAGGCCCUUCGGGGUACUCGAGCGGCGAACGGGUGAGUAACACGUGAGUAAUCUGCCCCUAGCUCUGGGAUAGCUCCGGGAAACCGGGAUUAAUACCAGAUACGACCACUUUAGACAUCUUCUGUGGUGGAAAGAACUUCGGCUAGGGAUGAACUCGCGGCCUAUCAGCUUGUUGGUGAGGUAACGGCUCACCAAGGCGACGACGGGUAGCCGGCCUGAGAGGGCGACCGGGCCACACUGGGACUGAGACACGGCCCAGACUCCUACGGGAGGCAGCAGUGGGGAAUAUUGCGCAAUGGGCGAAAGCCUGACGCAGCGACGCCGCGUGGGGGAUGAAGGCCUUCGGGUUGUAACCCCUUUCAGCAGGGACGAAGCGAAGUGACGGUACCUGCAGAAGAAGCGCCGGCUAACUACGCGCCAGCAGCCGC